rnacentral:rRNA from 1 species
UACGUAGGGAGCAAGCGUUGUCCGGAAUCAUUGGGCGUAAAGCGCGCGUAGGCGGCCCUGUAAGUCCGCUGUGAAAGUCAAAGGCUCAACCUUUGAAAGCCGGUGGAUACUGCAGGGCUAGAGUCCGGAAGAGGCGAGUGGAAUUCCUGGUGUAGCGGUGGAAUGCGCAGAUAUCAGGAGGAACACCAAUAGCGAAGGCAGCUCGCUGGGACGGUACUGAUGCUGAGGCGCGAAAGCGUGGGGAGCGAACAGG